rnacentral:rRNA from 1 species
GAUGAACGCUGGCGGCGUGCCUAAUACAUGCAAGUCGAGCGAACAGACGAGGAGCUUGCUCCUCUGACGUUCGCGGCGGACGGGUGAGUAACACGUGGAUAACCUACCUAUAAGACUGGGAUAACUUCGGGAAACCGGAGCUAAUACCGGAUAAUAUAUUGAACCGCAUGGUUCAAUAGUGAAAGACGGUUUUGCUGUCACUUAUAGAUGGAUCCGCGCCGCAUUAGCUAGUUGGUAAGGUAACGGCUUACCAAGGCAACGAUGCGUAGCCGACCUGAGAGGGUGAUCGGCCACACUGGAACGGAGACACGGUCAAGACUCCUACGAGAGGCAGCAGUAGGGAAUCUUCCGCAAUGGGCGAAAGCCUGACGGAGCAACGCCGCGUGUGUGAUGAAGGUCUUCGGAUCGUAAAGCUCUGUUAUUAGGGAAGAACAAAUGUGUAAGUAACUAUGCACGUCUUGACGGUACCUAAUCAGAAAGCCACGGCUAACUACGUG